rnacentral:lncRNA from 1 species
CUAGUAAGUGUGGUAUUUGUUAAGCACUUACUGUGCGCCAGGCACUCUUCUAAGCAGUGGGGUAGAUACGAGCAAAUCAGGUUGGACAUAGUCCCCGUCCCACGUAAGGCUCACGGUCUUAAUCCCCAUUUUACAGAUGAAGGAACUGAGGCCCAGAGAAGCAAAGUGACUUGCUCAAGGUCACACAGCAGACAAGUGGCAGAGCCCAGACUAAACCCAGGUCUUUCUGACUUCCAGGCCCAUGCUAUAUCCACUAGGCCAUUCUUCUCCGUGCAAUCAGGAAGAAGAGAGAGAGAAGACUCCAAAAGGAAGAAGACGAUCCAACUCGGUUCUUCAGAUGAAGGGAACUGAUCUCCCAAACCCCUGUCUCUCUCCGCUUCAGUCCAUACUUCACUUUACUGCCCAGAUUAUCUUUCUACAGAAACAUUCUGGGCAUGUCACCUCCCUCCUCCAAAAUCUCCCGUGGUUGCCUAUCGACCUCCGUAUCAAGCAAAAACUCCUCACGAUUGGCUUCAGAGCUCUUCAUCACCUUGCCCCCUUCUACCUCACCUCCCUUCUCUCUUUCUACAGCCCAGCCUGCACACUCUGCUCCUCUGGUGUUAACCUUCUCGCUGUGCCUCGUUCUCGCCUGUUCCACCGUCGACCCCUGCCCCACAUCCUCCCUCUGGUCUGGAAUGCCCUCCCUCCUCAAAUCCGCCAAACUGGCACACUUCCCCCCUUCAAAGCCCUACUGAAAGCUCACCUCCUCCAGGAGGCCUUCCCAGACUAAGCCCUCCCUUUUCCUCUGUUCCCCAUCCCCUCCCGAUCACCCCGACUCGCUCCCUUUGUUCUACCCCCUUCCCCACCCCACAGCACUUGCGUAUAAAUGUACAUGUUUAUAAUUCUAUUUAUUUUUAUUAAUGAUGUGUAUAAAUCUAUAAUUCUAUUUAUUUAUAAUGAUGCUACUGAUGCCUGUUUACUUGUUUUGAUGUCUGUCUCCCUUCUUCUGGACCGUGAGCCCUUUGUGGGCAGGGAUUGUCUCUGUUGCUGAAUUGUACUUUCCAAGUGCUUAGUCCAGUGCUCUGCACACAGUAAGUGCUCAAUAAAUGCGAUUGAAUGAAUGAAUGAAUUCUUUGAGGUAGUAUUUCUAAAAUUGGCCAUCCCAUCUCUCAGUGAAUCGAUGGUCUUUUAUUUUAAAGGUAUUUGCUAAGCACUCACUAUGUGCCAGGCACUGUACUAAGCGCUGGGGUAGAUACAAGCACCUCAGGUUGGAAACAGUCUAUGUCCCACACGGGGCUCGCCGUCUUAAUCCCCAUUUUACAGAUGCGGUAACUGAGGAACAGAGAAGUGACUUGCCCAAGGUCAUACAGCAGACAAGCAGCAGAGCUUGGAUUUGAACCCAGGUCCUCUGACUCCCAAGCUCAUGCUCUAUCCACUAGGCCAAGAUGCUUCUUAUUAAUUAAUUCAUUCAUUCAUUCAAUCAUACCAAACAAAGAUGUUAGCCCUGAUUUCCAGGAUUUCCGGGUCUAAGGCAGCCUUCCCCAUUAAGACCUAGAGAAAAGUGAAACAGUAACAGGGCGGCCCCUGUCUCCACCCACCUUUAAGGAGGGCCUGCCCCAGGAUCCCCUUUCCAGAAGCAGAAGUCCCUGCCAAAAGCUAAAACUCCAGGAGGCCGCUCAGCUGUGAGCCGGAGGUGAGGCUCAGAAGGGAUUCUCAGUGAGAACUGGAAGCAAGGAGAAAUCAUCUGGAGGCCAUUCAGAGGGCACGGAGCGAGUCGGUUUGACUUGGCUUAGGAAGAUGAAGAAGAUGAAGGGACAUUUAAUCAGGGAGUGGGAGAGGUGGAAAAGUCAACUCUUGUCCACUUCCAGCCAGAGGUGCCAUGAGGAUGAUUCAGAAACAUGGCUCACGUCCAGGAAAAAUCCAUUUUCAUCUCUUCUGCCACCCAGGUGGCAAGAAAUAGGGCUGACAGUUCCCAUAACCUAAAGUGUUCUCUUCCCAGGCUCUCCUACAGGAAGCUGAGCCCACUUUUCUUUCACCGAGGCAGUCGUCUCUCCCAGAAGUCGGCUCUACGAUGGAGAGGCUGGGACCAUGUCAGUGAUGUCACCCUGAAGAGGGUGGUGUCGCCCAAAAGCCCACCAUUUUGGAGUAGAUUGGGUUGUAAACCCCAAGUGGGAGAGGGACUGUGUCCAACCUAACUCAUUUGCACCUACCCCAGCCCUUGGAACAGUGUUUGACACACAGUAAGUGCUUAACAGUCCCUCUCAGGGUCACACCUGAAGAGUUUCCACUCCUCUACCAGUCUUGACUAUGGGAGAGAGAGUCAAGCAGAGGCCUACCCAUUCCAUUCCUAGCUUGGGCAGUGGCUAGUGAGCGGAAGGCCACCUGCUACACAAGUCAAAACUCACCUGUGCUGGGCAGCAGUGGCACGGGAGAGAAUCGAGGGCAGAGACACAAGUUUACCGUGUGGAAAGAGGCAGUGGUAAACCACUCCCGUAUUUCUUACCAAGAAAACUCUACGGAUCCACUACCAGAACGACUGCACAUGGAGGAGGGGCGUUCUGGGAGAGAUGUGUCCGUGGUGUCGCUCUGCGUCGGAGAUGAGUCAAGGGCAUAAGACAAGGUAAGACACGCCAAGUGCUUAACAAAUAGCAUUUUAAAAAUAAUGCCCCUGUCCUCUCUCCCUCUUAGAUUGUGAGCACCCUGUGGGACAGGGACUGUAGCCGAUCUGCGUAUUCUGGCUCUACCCCAGUGUUUAGCACAUAGUAUCAUAGUACGCACUUAGUAAGAGAAGCAGCAUGAUCUAGUGGAUAGAGCACAGGUGGUCAUGGGUUCUUACCCCAACUCUGCCCCUCGUCUGCUGCGUGGCCUUGGGCAAGUCAUUUCACUUCUCUGUGCCUCAGUUACCUCAUCUGUACAAUGGAGAUUAAGACUGUGAGCCCUAUGCGGGAUGGGAACUGUGUCCAACCCGAUUUGCUUGUAAUCACCCCAAGGCUCACGCCCAGCACAUGGAAAGCACUUAACAAAUACCAUAAUAAUAAUUACUACUUAACCAAUUCCACAGUGAUGAUGAUGAUAAUUAAGAAUUAGCCCUCAGGGAAGGCGGAGAAAUCUUGUGCAGCCAUGUGCUUUUUGUCCAGUUCUGAAGCCAGGCCCGGGCUGGUCCCGCUGCUCCUGGCACCGAAUAUCUGCCCCAGGAUGAAGUCCAGCUGGCAGCGUCAUUCUCCUGGCCUGAAG